UACGUAGGGGGCGAGCGUUGUCCGGAUUUAUUGGGCGUAAAGAGCGUGUAGGCGGCUUGGUAGGUCUGUUGUGAAAACUCGGGGCUCAACCCCGAGACGUCGGUGGAAACCACCUGGCUAGAGUCCGGAAGAGGAGAGUGGAAUUCCUGGUGUAGCGGUGAAAUGCGUAGAUAUCAGGAGGAACACCGGUGGCGAAGGCGGCUACCCGGACAGAAACUGACGCUGAGGCGCGAAAGCUAGGGGAGCAAACAGG
rnacentral:rRNA from 1 species